UACGUAGGGUGCAAGCGUUGUCCGGAAUUAUUGGGCGUAAAGAGCUCGUAGGCGGUUUGUCGCGUCGGCCGUGAAAACUUGGGGCUUAACCCCAAGCCUGCGGUCGAUACGGGCAGACUUGAGUUCGGCAGGGGAGACUGGAAUUCCUGGUGUAGCGGUGAAAUGCGCAGAUAUCAGGAGGAACACCGAUGGCGAAGGCAGGUCUCUGGGCCGAUACUGACGCUGAGGAGCGAAAGCGUGGGGAGCGAACAGG
rnacentral:rRNA from 1 species